GGGGCUGAACUGGUAUCGACCUUGAUUGACCGAUGUAGGAGAAGCGAGCCGAGGACUCCCGGUGUGACCUCGUUAAUCCUCUGGGAAAAAUAUAACUGCCGCUGCUUAAUCGCACGGUCGCCAUCACCUAAUCGAUGGUCGUCAGCCCGACAUGAGCCUGCGAUGUCGGGGUCUGGCGUCGCUUAGCAGGCUUACCCCCCGGAACACGCUCUGGGUGAUGGGGGGAACAUCUUUCAGAGCUAGGAGAUGAUCGCUGCUGUUCGUGGGCCGGUCAUCUCCGAAACCUGACCACGAACUGCGCUCGGAGAAGUCCUACGUUGGGAUUGAGGGACCCGGGUUCGAUUCCCGGCAGCUCCACUC
rnacentral:tmRNA from 1 species